UAUUGGACAAUGGGCGCAAGCCUGAUCCAGCCAUACCGCGUGGGUGAAGAAGGCCUUCGGGUUGUAAAGCCCUUUUGUUGGGAAAGAAAUCCUGUCGGUUAAUACCCGGCGGGGAUGACGGUACCCAAAGAAUAAGCACCGGCUAACUUCGUGCCAGCAGCCGCGGUAAUACGAAGGGUGCAAGCGUUACUCGGAAUUACUGGGCGUAAAGCGUGCGUAGGUGGUUGUUUAAGUCUGCUGUGAAAGCCCUGGGCUCAACCUGGGAAUUGCAGUGGAUACUGGGCGACUAGAGUAAGGUAGAGGAUAGUGGAAUUUCCGGUGUAGCAGUGAAAUGCGUAGAGAUCGGAAGGAACAUCUGUGGCGAAGGCGACUAUCUGGGCCAUUACUGACACUGAGGCACGAAAGCGUGGGGAGCAAACAGG
rnacentral:rRNA from 1 species